CCUACGGGUGGCAGCAGUCGAGAAUCAUUCACAAUGGGGGAAACCCUGAUGGUGCGACGCCGCGUGGGGGAAUGAAGGUCUUCGGAUUGUAAACCCCUGUCAUGUGGGAGCAAAUUAAAAAGAUAGUACCACAAGAGGAAGAGACGGCUAACUCUGUUCCAGCAGCCGCGGUAAUACAGAGGUCUCAAGCGUUGUUCGGAAUCACUGGGCGUAAAGCGUGCGUAGGCUGUUUCGUAAGUCGUGUGUGAAAGGCGCGGGCUCAACCCGCGGACGGCACAUGAUACUGCGAGACUAGAGUAAGGGAGGGGGAACCGGAAUUCUCGGUGUAGCAGUGAAAUGCGUAGAUAUCGAGAGGAACACUCGUGGCGAAGGCGGGUUCCUGGACAUUAACUGACGCUGAGGCACGAAGGCCAGGGGAGCGAAAGGGAUUAGAUACCCUUGUAGUC
rnacentral:rRNA from 1 species